CCUACGGUGCGCAGCAGUAGGGAAUCUUCCACAAUGGGCGCAAGCCUGAUGGAGCAACACCGCGUGAGUGAAGAAGGGUUUCGGCUCGUAAAGCUCUGUUGUUGGAGAAGACCGUGCGUGAGAGUAACUGUUCACGCAGUGACGGUAUCCAACCAGAAAGUCCCGGCUAACUACGUGCCAGCAGCCGCGGUAAUACGUAGGUGGCAAGCGUUAUCCGGCUUUAUUGGGCGUAAAGCGAGCGCAGGCGGUUGCUUAGGUCUGAUGUGAAAGCCUUCGGCUUAACCGAAGAAGUGCAUCGGAAACCGGGAGACUAGAGUGCAGAAGAGGACAGUGGAACUCCAUGUGUAGCGGUGGAAUGCGUAGAUAUAUGGAAGAACACCAGUGGCGAAGGCGGCCUGCUGGACUGUGACUGACGUUGAGGCCCGAAGGCGUGGGGAGCAAACAGGAUUAGAUACCCCAGUAGUC
rnacentral:rRNA from 1 species